rnacentral:rRNA from 1 species
GCACGAACUUAGCCCGUGCUUCCUCUGCAGGCUAUGUCAAACUAGAGAGAUAGCUCUCUAGCAUUUCAUCCCCUCUGACAGUGGUUUACAACCCAAGGGCCUUCAUCCCACACGCGGCGUCGCUCGGUCAGGGUUUCCCCCAUUGCCGAAGAUUCUCGA